rnacentral:rRNA from 1 species
AGCAGUAGCCGCGGGAAUACGUAGGUGGCAAGCGUUGUCCGGAAUUAUUGGGCGUAAAGGGCUCGCAGGCGGUUUCUUAAGUCUGAUGUGAAAGCCCCCGGCUCAACCGGGGAGGGUCAUUGGAAACUGGGAAACUUGAGUGCAGAAGAGGAGGGUGGAAUUCCACGUGUAGCGGUGAAAUGCGUAGAGAUGUGGAGGAUCACCAGUGGCGAAGGCGACUCUCUGGUCUGUAACUGACGCUGAGGAGCGAAAGCGUGGGGAGCGAACAGGAUUAGAUACACCCGUAGUCCCUGUCUCUUAUAC